GCCUAAGCAGUCCACUACCUUCAAGAAGAAGAAGAACAAGGAGAACGAGGGAUGCUUCGUGUGCGGUUCUACUGACCAUUGGGCAAAGAAGUGCCCAAACCGCAAAGGAAGAAAACCUCCACAGCAGAAGUCUGUAAGCAUGGUGACCAGCGCUGGAGAUGGAAAUAGUGGGUCGCUCGGGAUUCCUCCGUCCUAAUGGGGAAUGGGUCACAUGCUUCUGUUCAUGGUGUUGGUACGGUAGAUCUGAAGUUUACUUCGGGAAAGAUCGUGCAACUGAAGAACGUGCAGCAUGUCCCUUCUAUCAGGAAGAAUCUAGUUAGUGGCUCCCUUUUGUGUAGGGAUGGCUUUAAGCUAGUGCUUGAGUCUAAUAAAAUUGUCGUGUCUAAGAGUGGAUAAUUUAUUGGUAAAGGCUAUGAGUGCGGAGGCUUGUUCUGCUUUUCCCUUACAGAUUAUUGCAAUAAGUCAGUGAACUAUAUUUGUGAUGGUAUUAAUGAGAGUGAUGCUAGUGUUUGGCAUUCACGUUUAUGUCA